CCAACAACACCCCCAGCAAAUACUAAAGACAGCUCAGUUUUAGGCAAGAGAAAGAGAUCAGAUGGUUCUGUUGGAGUUGCUGUGGACAUUGAUUUUCCAUCAAGCAAAAAAAGGAUUCAGGUCAAAUCACCAUGGUCAAGUUUGAAUGUGAGAAGGAUACUCAACAAAAGUUAUAAUUCUCUGUCAUCAUCAAUUGCUACAUCAGAUCGGACACAAAAUAAAACUAUAGACCCUAUAGGGCGCUAACUUCUAGAA